rnacentral:rRNA from 1 species
GAUGAACGCUGGCGGCGUGCCUAAUACAUGCAAGUCGAGCGAACGGACGAGAAGCUUGCUUUUCUGAUGUUAGCGGCGGGCGGGUGAGUAACACGUGGAUACCCUACCUAUAAGACUGGGAUAACUUCGGGAAACCGGAUCUAAUACCGGAUAAUAUUUUGAACCGCAUGGUUCAAAGGUGAAAGACGGUCUUGCUGUCACUUAUAGAUGGAUCCGCGCUGCAUUAGCUAGUUGGUAAGGUAACGGCUUACCAAGGCAACGAUGCAUAGCCGACCUGAGAGAGUGAUCGGCCACACUGGAACUGAGACACGGUCCAGACUCCUACGGGAGGCAGCAGUAGGGAAUCUUCCGCAAUGGGCGAAAGCCUGACGGAGCAACGCCGCGUGAGUGAUGAAGGUCUUCGGAUCGUAAAACUCUGUUAUUAGGGAAGAACAUAUGUGUAAGUAACUGUGCACAUCUUGACGGUACCUAAUCAGAAAGCCACGGCUAACUACGUG